GCCUCUGGCCUCCCGUGGCCGCCGCGCCUGGAGAGCAGCACCGUGUUGUCGUGUGGAAAGGCCGAGCGGCGGCGGCACCGCGGGUGGGCGGCGGAGGUCACGCAGCCUCGCUGCAGGCCCGGAUUUAGAAACAUGCGCAAGAAAGGAAUGAGAAGUGCCUGAAGUCAGUAUCAGAAAAGGGAUGGCAUCCACAAUCCAGGAACAUGAACAUGGACAUAAAAUUAGGAAGGCCAUUCUGACGUCUUUCAGAGCUGAAAAGAAGCUGUAGCAUUCAGGUCUAGCAGAAAAUUCUACACAAGCAUGUAUAGUUCUGUAAAUCUGUUCUAACUCCUGUCCAUCCAUUGUCAAAAAAGAAGUAAGGUGUGGAUUUUCUGAUGCAGUGUGUAAUUCCUGCAUCUUGGUGUGAAAGAUAUUUAUUGUCACAUUAUUUUAAAUUUGAUGUGUGCAUUAUUUGGGCAACCUUUGUUUUCAUUUGAAUGUAAGUAAAUAGUCUCAAAAAAGCUAAAGUACUAUGUGACAGGCCCAUCAAAGCUCUGUGUAAGCUUGCUGAGCUCAAAACUUACAUUCCCCACUUCUUAACUGAAUGAAAUUGGAAUAACAAAACCCUCUUUUUUAGUGAAGCACAGUGAGCAUCCUUUCACCCUCAUAAUGCAAUGGGCUACGCUAAAGUUCCCCUCAUCUUCAUUACUCUGUGCAAGUUUGGGAUCUGCAGAUUUAAGCAUAGUUUACUUUUUCAGUAUUUUGUCCUGCUGUUUUGUUAUUUUUUCAUGAUCAUUCAGAUAAAGCCCGAACUAUGUGUAAGACUCCAGGGAAUCUUUAUUCUGUGAUUCUGGUGUAAGUUAUAGCAUUCAGAUAUCUAAUAGACAAGUACUCAAGACUGCCAUUUUUUAGAUAAAUUGGAAAUUUGCUACCAGGGGUCAUUAAGGUUAAGUAUUUAGACUUAGCUGUUACUAUAAUGAACAGAAAAUUGGAUAUACACAGCAAUUUAUAAUGAAAACUUUCAAAUAAAGAUCAUGUCACAAACACUGAGUAGGCAUAUUAUUAGGCAUAUUUAAUUUCUUAUUUACAUAGAAAAAAGUUUUCCUUUAGACAUACUGGCUUUCCUAACAACGGCAAUAGCUUAAAAGCAGAGUGGUGCAAAUUUUGUUGGCAUAAAGCUGUCAAAUAAUGCAUCAUUUGCACAUCUCUAAAUAAUGGAAACCACUUAUAUAUCAUUGCAUUUAAGGUACUUGAAUUUGAAUCAGUUUCAACUCUAUGUUCUGUUGUUGAAUAAGCAUUUUAAAAUAUUUUCAAAUGCUACAGAAAACAUACAAAACAAGUAUUAAGGCAUUUUCUUUAACAUUUAUUUUUGGACAUAUAUGCCAUUUUCUUAAUCUAAUAAAGCUUAACUUUGUAAGAUUUUUGGUGGAGCUUAAGCUGAUACUGUUAAAAAUAUUUUGUGUGUUCUGCAAUGAAAUCUAAUAAAGUUGUGACAGUAUAAUGUUUUGUAGGAUUUCUUAAGGUUUGGAUUGUUCCUACCAAGUAACGAACUUCUUUCCAGAGCUAAAUAACAAAGUAAAGUCAAUGCAAGGAUAAUGAUAUUAGAGACUUACACUUUAGCUCUGUUUGUAAUUAGUUGUUCCACAUUGUUGUGCAUACAUUUGUAUGUUGACACAGCUUUUUAGAAAAUAUUUAUAACUCACUGUCAUUUUGAAGCAACUGUUUUCUGAUUCUGCUUUUUUUUUUCCUCAUUCAUUUUGCAUGUAACUAUUUUUUUCUCUAGUUUCCACAAUCUUACUAGAUUUCCUUUCCCCAGAAAAAUUUCCUUCUGUACUUUUGUUUCAUCUUUAAUUACCAAGCAUUUUAAAAUUAUGGCGGAUUUCCUAUAUCUAUUUUAUAUACUCUCUCAUAUUGAUAACUUCCUGACACCUUUCAUCCACUGAGCUCUGUCUUUUUAUUUUUACUCUUGAUUGCCUUCUUUCUUUUCUUUUAUUUUUGGUAGAUUUUCUUUCCUGACAGACUUUGACUGGUUGGUUUUACAGAUGUAGAACAAAAAAGAUGUGCUACAGAAGCAGCACCUCCAGUUUUCAAAGGUUGUCCUCUGCUCUCUACAACAGACACCACUUCUGGCAAUUUGAUACAGUGAGCACAUACUUCACGCUGUGUCACACAUUCCAUUGGCAUAGCUUGUUUCAGGAAGAGGCCCUGAAAUGGAGACGUGAUGCAGUGGCUUCCCCUCUCCUGCAGCCUUGGUCUUCCUGCAUUACUGUAUUACCUGUAUUAUCUCAGAGAGUAGAAGUACUGUGUUAUUAAAAACAACAGAAGUAAUGCAAAGGAAAAAAAAAAUGAAAUAACUUCUGGAAAGCAGUUUAAUUUGUCCUGAAUUUUUGGGCUACCUUUCAUAUUUUUACAAUGUUCUGGUUUUGUAUUCUUUGCUCCCAGAUGUUCAAAUGUACCUUCUGCAGCUUUCAUCUGUAUCCCAGCAGUCAUCAUGCCAUUUCCAAAGGUUUGUGGUAAGUAAUGUUCCAGUACCCAGGAACGGAACUGGGUCAUCCCCCAGGGAGUGCCAAGCCAAGCUGAGUCCCUUCAGGUCACAUGUACAGGAUGAGCACACCCAUAGCUAAGCUGUAAUGGACUGGUCAGCGUGUAACCUGCCGUCCCCAUGGAUGGCCAGACACCAGCGUGUCAAACCAUCAUCCGCAGGCUGUUGAUGGGGGCUCUGGAACCAGCAGCUGUGCAGCUGCACCUCUUUGAGGUGUGGCCUGGCUCUGAAAGCAGUUUAGUCACAUUUGUACGAUGUUACUUUGACAGGUGAGACUUGAAAGAUUUCACGUGUAAAACUGGUAGGAUCUACAUACACAGUGUAUAGUGUUUCUGCAUCUUCUACCUUGUUAAUCUGCAGUUUGGAUAAACAAACCCAGCAUGACUGUCUUGGAUAAAAGUGGUUGUAUGCUGAUCAAAAUUUAGAUCAAAACAAAAUCCACCCAAAGUUCCAGAGCUAGGUGAUUGAAAAGAGUGCCUUUAAAAGGAGUAAAUCAACCUUUACUACAGGCCUUGUCUAUGUGCCAGAUUCCUCCAUUGAGUAUUCCUACUGGUAUUUAAGACUUGACACUUUUUCUUUGAGAUCUGCACAUCCUUUCUUCUCUCUAGCACCCUUCAGAGAGUCAGUUUAUUACUGUAACUUGCUAAGGCGUUUUGAGUUUUUAGGGAUAGAGAUUUUCAUUGCUGUAAAUUUUGAAAUGCCCUCUUUGCAAAUAUGAAUUGCAUUAAAAAAUUGUCCAAUGUUUUUAAUGCUGUGCAUCACAAUCAUACUCCUCUGAAUCACUCCAAAUAAAAUGCAUUGGGAUUUGAGUUACAUAUAUUUAUAUGGGAUGCCUGUAAUCUUACCUGGUGCAUCCCAGCUCUCACACCCCAUUUAAAGGGUCACAACUCAUAUCAACUUAAAAUAAAUAUUAAAAGAAAUGUCAUACAAUGGUAGCAAAACCAUCUUUUGAUGCCCCAAGUAGGAAGGAAUAGUGAUAAUCUUCAAAAGUGAUAUGUCUGCAUGCAAGUGGUUAGGAGAGUGCGUGAGGCUUUUAUUCCUUGCCAUGAAGUGUAUUGCUAGGAUGGUAUUAUCACUCUCAGCCCCUCUGGAGCAAUUUUUGGGAGAGCUUCUGGCAGCAAGCAACACAUGGCACAGAACUAGAAGUAUCUUAGUGGUCAGAACAUAAGCUGAGCUAGGUUCAGAUUUUAAAACAUUGAAAGCACAUACUACAAAAAGAAAAAUACCAAAACAAUGAAACCCAUAUUUUAACUUAAAGAUGCAAAUGCGUGAAUAACAUGAAAAAAGAAGUUAAAUGGAGUCUGUGGCCAUAGAUAUUGGUCUUAAGGAUGUGUCUCUCAUGCUCAGCUUUUUGGCCUUCUUCAGAUUACUCUUCCAAUUUCUUGUGUGCAACUUCCUGUUUUUUUUCUCUGUUAAGAACAAGCCUGAGGUUGUAGCAACAGAAGGGUUCCAGUGGCCUGUGGUCACUGCCAAGUGCUCAGCCAAAUGUUCCUUGUAAAUACAACAAACAGAGCACAUCUAGAUAAUGAUUGAUGUACUACGAAAUCUAGUCAAACAAUCAAAUAUUUUUAAAUCUUUUAGAAUUUGGUACUAAGACAAGUGCCAGUUGUUUCAACUUCAUGUAUAUUACUUUUUAUUUUUUCCAUGACCCGUGAUGGAAAAAGCAAUGUCUUCCUUCAGUAUUUCUGUUUUAAACCAUUUGUAAGUUAUCUCAGAGGUAUAUUAGGAUACAAAGUGAAUAUGUAAGCAGAAAGUGUCAUAUAUUAUCACUUUUGCCCUCCUUAUUGAUUGUAAACUGCAAACACAAGACAUUUUCCAUGGAAGUAUGUUGAUUUGUCUCUAGAUGUAGCUGACAGUGAGUCAACAACAUAUUCUUUAUGUCGUCCUUUUCUUAAUAGGGUGUUUUUCUAAAUUUAUAACAUUCGUUUUUUAGAAGGAACACAGUCCUUCAAACCAAGAAAAAUUAUAUGCCACCAUGGUUAAUACUUUAAAGACUGUCUUUGAGCUUCUCUUGAAUGAAUCAUAUUUAAAGGAAAAUGCUGUAUUUAUAGCAAAUAAAUAGCAAAUAUAUUAUUCU